rnacentral:miRNA from 1 species
CUGGAUGUCUCAAGGAUCUCACUGGGGCCUCCAAAUGUUGUGGCAUGAGAUGGUCAAGAAUAAAGACCACCAGAGAAAUUAGACUUUUUAUGA